GAUGAACGCUGGCGGCGUGCCUAAUACAUGCAAGUCGAGCGAAUGGAUUAAGAGCUUGCUCUUAUGAAGUUAGCGGCGGACGGGUGAGUAACACGUGGGUAACCUGCCCAUAAGACUGGGAUAACUACGGGAAACCGGGGCUAAUACCGGAUAACAUUUUGAACCGCAUGGUUCGAAAUUGAAAGGCGGCUUCGGCUGUCACUUAUGGAUAGACCCGGGUCGCAUUAGCUAGUUGGUGAGGUAACGGCUCACCAAGGCAACGAUGCGUAGCCGACCUGAGAGGGUGAUCGGCCACACUGGGACUGAGACACGGCCCAGACUCCUACGGGAGGCAGCAGUAGGGAAUCUUCCGCAAUGGAGGAAAGUCUGACGGAGCAACGCCGCGUGAGUGAUGAAGGCUUUCGGGUCGUAAAACUCUGUUGUUAGGGAAGAACAAGUGCUAGUUGAAUAAGCUGGCACCUUGACGGUACCUAACCAGAAAGCCACGGCUAACUACGUGCCAGCCGCCGCGGUAA
rnacentral:rRNA from 1 species